rnacentral:rRNA from 1 species
CCAAUAGCGUAUAUUAAAGUUGUUGCAGUUAAAAGCUCGUAGUUGAAUUUCGGGGUUCUACCGUCGGUCGGGCUAACAAGUCUGUACUGGUGUGUAGAAUUUCUACCUUCUGGGGAACUAUCAUGUUAUUAAUUUAGCGUGGUGGGAAACCAGGACCUUUACCUUGAAAAAUUAGAGUGUUCAAAGCAGGCUUACGUCUGAAUACAUUAGCAUGGAAUAAUAGAAUAGGACGGUGGUCCUGUUUUGUUGGUUUCUGAAUCACCGUAAUGAUUAAUAGGGAUAGUUGGGGCAUUAGUAUUCAAUUGUCAGAGGUGAAAUUCUUGGAUUUAUUGAAGACUAACUUCUGCGAAAGCAUUUGCCAAGGAUGUUUUCAUUAAUCAAGAACGAAAGUUAGGGGAUCGAAGACGAUCAGAUACCGUCGUAGUCUUAACCAUAAACUAUGCCGACUAGGGAUCGGACGAUGUUAAAUUUAUUGACUCGUUCGGCGCCUUACGGGAAA